AAAUAAAUCACAUAGAGAUCUUGUUAUAAAUAAAUAUUCUGAUUUAAUAGGUUUGGGGUGGGGUCUAAGAUUCUACAUUUCUAGCAUACUCCCAUGCGAUCUCAUU
rnacentral:pre_miRNA from 1 species